rnacentral:rRNA from 1 species
GACGAACGCUGGCGGCGUGCCUAAUACAUGCAAGUAGAACGCACAGUUUAUACCGUAGCUUGCUACACAAUAGACUGUGAGUUGCGAACGGGUGAGUAACGCGUAGGUAACCUGCCUGGUAGCGGGGGAUAACUAUUGGAAACGAUAGCUAAUACCGCAUAAUAUUAAUUAUUGCAUGCUAAUUAAUUGAAAGGUGCAAUUGCACCACUACCAGAUGGACCUGCGUUGUAUUAGCUAGUAGGUGAGGUAACGGCUCACCUAGGCGACGAUACAUAGCCGACGUGAGGGGGUGAUCGGCCACACUGGGACUGAGACACGGCCCAGACUCCUACGGGAGGCAGCAGUAGGGAAUCUUCGGCAAUGGACGAAAGUCUGACCGAGCAACGCCGCGUGAGUGAAGAAGGGUUUCGGAUCGUAAAGCUCUGUUGUAAGAGAAGAACGGGUGUGAGAGUGGAAAGUUCACACUGCGACGGUAUCUUACCAGAAAGGGACGGCUAACUACGUG